rnacentral:rRNA from 1 species
GACGAACGCUGGCGGCGUGCCUAAUACAUGCAAGUUGAGCGAUGAAGAUUGGUGCUUGCACCAAUUUGAAGAGCAGCGAACGGGUGAGUAACGCGUGGGGAAUCUGCCUUUGAGCGGGGGACAACAUUUGGAAACGAAUGCUAAUACCGCAUAACAACUUUAAACAUAAGUUUUAAGUUUGAAAGAUGCAAUUGCAUCACUCAAAGAUGAUCCCGCGUUGUAUUAGCUAGUUGGUGAGGUAAAGGCUCACCAAGGCGAUGAUACAUAGCCGACCUGAGAGGGUGAUCGGCCACAUUGGGACUGAGACACGGCCCAAACUCCUACGGGAGGCAGCAGUAGGGAAUCUUCGGCAAUGGACGAAAGUCUGAGCGAGCAACGCCGCGUGAGUGAAGAAGGUUGUCGGAUCGUAAAACUCGGUUGGUAGAGAAGAACGUUGGUGAGAGUGGAAAGCUCAUCAAGUGACGGUAACUACCCAGAAAGGGACGGCUAACUACGUG